rnacentral:rRNA from 1 species
GACGAACGCUGGCGGCGUGCUUAACACAUGCAAGUCGAACGGAAAGGCCCUGCUUUUGUGGGGUGCUCGAGUGGCGAACGGGUGAGUAACACGUGAGUAACCUGCCCUUGACUUUGGGAUAACUUCAGGAAACUGGGGCUAAUGCCGGAUAGGAGCUCCUGCUGCAUGGUGGGGGUUGGAAAGUUUCGGCGGUUGGGGAUGGACUCGCGGCUUAUCAGCUUGUUGGUGGGGUAGUGGCUUACCAAGGCUUUGACGGGUAGCCGGCCUGAGAGGGUGACCGGCCACAUUGGGACUGAGAUACGGCCCAGACUCCUACGGGAGGCAGCAGUGGGGAAUAUUGCACAAUGGGCGGAAGCCUGAUGCAGCAACGCCGCGUGCGGGAUGACGGCCUUCGGGUUGUAAACCGCUUUCGCCUGUGGCGAAGCGUGAGUGACGGUAAUGGGUAAAGAAGCACCGGCUAACUACGUG